GGGGCAGGCGGGAGGCGCUGAGGGACGCGGCCGGCCCGGCACUCACUGCCCGCGGAGCCCCUCGGCGCCGCUCCCCGCCGCCUGACGCCGCCCCUCGGGCCUCACCGGCACGGCCCGGAGCGGGACGUGCCCUCGGGAGGGAGUCUGCCAGGAGCAAUAUGGAGACGGCUUGGAAGUCCUGUGUCCCGCGGUCCCUCGCUGAAAUUUGAUUGGAAAGGCUGGAGCCACAGCAGCUGGGGAGCCACAGAGAGGUACGUCAUUGACAGUGUGCUGCUCCAUGGCCAGCCUGGCUGGUUAGGGCAGUGCUUGUCACAGUUCCGCAGAGACAACACCGGAAAAACACCCUGCACUUACAAAUCACUUAUCUCAAGUUUCCCCUUCAAAUCCACAUUCAGACUGAAGCUGAACAUCAUCCAAAAAUGGUGAGAGAUGACAGGCAUUGAAAAGGUAGCUUCAUUCCAAGCCUGUUCUCCUUGUGAGUCCCUCCUGUAGAAAUAAAACUGUGGUACUUGUGUGUUGUUUUCUUUCU
rnacentral:lncRNA from 1 species